rnacentral:lncRNA from 1 species
AUGAAUAGUCUAUUUAAUCCUUUGACUCCUCUUGUAAUGAAUUCUAAACGCCAGUUCGCUUGCCGAACUCGGUGCUUAACGAUUUUCUUAAAGUUAGGAAGAUCAUUUAAGAUGCUCGAGUCAUUCAUAACUUCUCGAAUUGUUCUGUUUUUCAGGCGAGCAGCAAGAGAGGUCGUGCUUCCCGUUAGGAGGUCAAGAACAGACACACCGGUUUCACCGAUCGUUUUGCUUCUCAUGCGCUCCAGUUCCGUCUGGCAAAUCACUUCAAAUUGUUUUACAUUAAAGCGCCUUCUCAGCGCGGCAGGUCCUGGUUUGCAUCCAUUUGGGAGCAUCCGCGGUUUUCAGCGUUCCCAACGACGACGCGGAGAUGCUCACGGUCCUGGCGCGCAGGGGUCCUCCGAAAAAAGGAAAAAAAGACUACCAUAAUCCGCAGGAUAUUUGCGAUAACUCUGGAAACUAUAACGAAAAAGCAAUGCAGCUACAAAAAGGACCCCUGCGGAAAGAUGGGGUGCUGGUGCAGUGAAGGAAACCCAACUUUUUGUUUGUGAAAAGAACCUCUUUCUUUGCACUUAAACCUAAGCUGACUAAACUUUAUUAGAAUUGAUAUGUGAGGAGUCUAAUUUGACCGCGUUCAACAGAUAGAAACCAAGCCACACCAGUCAUUGCCAAAUUUAAUUAGGCGAUAUAAUGUUUUACAUGAAAACGAUUAUGCGGAUUAUGGACACUAUUUCAUGAAAAAUUGCGGCAUUUUUUUCUUUUCUGGGGGGGGGGGUGUGAGGGUGUGUGAGGGUGUGGGAGGGGAGGGUGGGAGAGGGGGUGUGAGGGUGUGAGGGUGUGUGUGUGUGCGCGCGCAAAAUCGCAGCAAUAGACACGUAAAGAGCCAUAAAAAGUCAUAAAUUUUGAUAUUUCUGAUGAAAAAGGGGUUUUUAAGAUGAAAGCCAAUUUUAAAAUGGGAGGGCUAAGAACUUCCUGCGUCCCUGCGUCAUUUCCCAUUUAGUUACAUUUAUUUUAGCAGAUUAGGUCAUUAUUUCCUUCGUAUUCCUACCGAUAAUAAUUGUUCAAUUCAGGAGCCAAGGGUAUCCACUUGUUUAGUUCUCUUAGCAGUUUCAUUUUACGCAUGAAAUUCACAAAAUUUCAGACACCUGCGACAGUGGCGUGGCGUGCUUUGCGAUAUAUCGAUUGAUCUGCCAUUUAAACCUAUGGCGAAGAAUCGAUGAAUAGAGUUUUCGCAACGAACACCUUAAUAAUCGAUUCUUUACCAUAGCUUUAAAUAAGGAAAUAUCGAUAACCGAUCUUUCACGCCUCGCCACUAACCUGCACAUUCUCCAUUAAUCUGGACAAUGAACGCGGAUUCCCCACGCACGAUAUCUCCGAUACGAUACUCUAUAGAAACUCACGGACACUGAGCACUUCAAAGGACCAAUUGGAUUGCAUUUUGCAAAAAGGAACCACUAGCAUUGCAAUGAUGCUAAGAUUGUGCAACUUCAUCCUUUGCAAUAUAAUUGCGGAAAUUGUGAAAAACUAUGAAAUUUAGAUGGUAAUUUUGUCUUAAAUUUACAGUUAUUAGCGAAAAAAUAGAAACGAUUAAUGGAUACUCGGGGUUUUCCUCCAAGACAAAAGAAGUUGCACAAUCUUAGCAACAUUGCAAUGCUAGUGGUUCCUUUUGCAAAAUGCAAUCCAAUAAUUAUGAAAUGUCCUCUUUCAAUAAAUUCUGAAUUGAUAAAACAUUUUAUAUAAAAUAUAAAAUACAAUAUUCAAUGAUGCUUGCGGAAGACUCCGAGGAUAAGGAUAAUAAGUGUCACAUUUGAAGUAAACUAAUAAAAUGUGCGCGGUCGAACCUCCUUUCAUUCGAUUUUCAUAGUUAUCUUGAAGUUUGUGUUCAAGUUUGUAGUUAGAUAGAAAGUUGUUGAAAAUAAUAUAAAGAUGCUACGGUAGAUCCAGUCUCCUGUUUG